rnacentral:rRNA from 1 species
ACUGAUGGCGACCGGCGGCACGGGUGAGUAACACGUAUCACCUGCCUCAUACUCGGGGAUAGCCUUUCGAAAGAAAGAUUAAUAUCCGAUAGCAUAUAUUUCCCGCAUGGGUUUUAUAUUAAAGAAAUUCGGUAUGAGAUGGGGAUGCGUUCCAUUAGUUUGUUGGGGGGGUAACGGCCCACCAAGACUACGAUGGAUAGGGGUUCUGAGAGGAAGGUCCCCCACAUUGGAACUGAGACACGGUCCAA